rnacentral:rRNA from 1 species
GGAAUAUUGGACAAUGGGCGCAAGCCUGAUCCAGCAACGCCGCGUGGAGGAAGAAGGCCUUCGGGUCGUAAACUCCUGUCAGGUGGAAGGAAAGGGUGCCGGUAAAUAGCCGAUGCCUGUGACAGUACCCCCAGAGGAAGCCCCGGCUAACUCGGUGCCAGCAGCCGCGGUAAUACGGGGGGGGCAAGCGUUGUUCGGAAUUACUGGGCGUAAAGGGCUCGUAGGCGGCCAACUAAGUCGGAUGUGAAAUCCCCAGGCUCAACCUGGGAACUGCAUCCGAUACUGGAUGGCUUGAAUUCGGGAGAGGGAUGUAGAAUUCCAGGUGUAGCGGUGAAAUGCGUAGAUAUCUGGAGGAAUACCGGUGGCGAAGGCGGCAUCCUGGACCGACAUUGACGCUGAGGAGCGAAAGCUAGGGGAGCAAAC